GGGUGACGAGAUAGUGAAAAGUCCGCGUUCUUACGGAAUAGAACGUUAAAGGGUGUAGAUAUUGGUUUUGUAGGCAAAUCCGCAAGACUAGUCGAACCUGAUAGUACAGCAAAGUUUCGGCGGCGCUGAUAGUGACUGUAAUCAAAUCUCCGAGAAAAACCUCUAAGUUAUGGUAUAUGGAGCCCGUACCGCAAACCGACACAGGUGGGUGGGAUGAAUAUUCUAAGGCGCUCGGGUGAGCCGUGGAGAAGGAACUAGGCAAAUUAACGCUGUAACUUCGGGAUAAAGCGUACCGAUUUCGGUCGGUCUCAGUAAAAUGGUACAACCAACUGUUUAGCAAAAACACAGGGCCCUGCAAAAUCGAAAGAUGACGUAUAGAGCCUGAUACCUGCCCGGUGCUGGAAGGUUAAGGAAGGAUGUUCGGCGCAAGCCAAAGCUUCUGACUGAAGCCCCAGUAAACGGCGGCCGUAACUAUAACGGUCCUAAGGUAGCGAAAUUCCUUGUCGGGUAAGUUCCGACCUGCACGAAUGGUCUAAUGAGUUGUACACUGUCUCCUCCACGAGCCCGGUGAAAUUGUAGUAUCGGUGAAGAUGCCGGUUACCCGUCACGGGACGGAAAGACCCCAUGAACCUUCACUACAACUUUGCAUUGAUUUUGAAUUUUUGAUGUGUAGGAUAGUUGGGAGACUUUGAAGUAGUGUCGCCAGGCAUUAUGGAGUCGUCGUUGAAAUACCAACCUUUAAACAUUUAGAAUCUAAUCCCUAACGGGAAACAGUGCAUGGUGGGUAGUUUGACUGGGGUGGUCGCCUCCUAAAGUGUAACGGAGGCUUGCAAAGGUUCCUUCAGUACGGUUGGUAAUCGUACAUAGAGCGUAUUAGUAUAAGGGAGCUUGACUGUGAGACUUACAAGUCGAGCAGGGACGAAAGUCGGCUAAAGUGAUCCGGCGGUUCUGCAUGGAAGGGCCGUCGCUCAAAGGAUAAAAGGUACUCUGGGGAUAACAGGCUGAUCUCCCCCAAGAGCUCAUAUCGACGGGGAGGUUUGGCACCUCGAUGUCGGCUCGUCACAUCCUGGGGCUGGAGAAGGUCCCAAGGGUUCGGCUGUUCGCCGAUUAAAGUGGCACGUGAACUGGGUUCAGAACGUCGCAAGACAGUUCGGUCCCUAUCUGUGAUGGGCGCUAGUAAAUUGAGAGGAUAUGACUUUAGUACGAGAGGACCGAGUCGUACGUUCCGCUGGUGUAUCUGUUGUGCCGCCAGGUGCAAUGCAGAGUAGCUACGAACGGACAGGAUAAACGCUGAAAGCAUCUAAGCGUGAAACCUACCUCAAGAUGAGUUUACUUUUAAGGGUCGUCAGAGACUAUGACGUUGAUAGGCUACAGGUAUAAGGGUGGUAACAUCGAAGCCGAGUAGUACUAAUUACCCGUAAGCUUUAUUUU
rnacentral:rRNA from 1 species